rnacentral:rRNA from 1 species
GUCGAACGCACAGCGAAAGGUGCUUGCACCUUUCAAGUGAGUGGCGAACGGGUGAGUAACACGUGGACAACCUGCCUCAAGGCUGGGGAUAACAUUUGGAAACAGAUGCUAAUACCGAAUAAAACUUAGUGUCGCAUGACACAAAGUUAAAAGGCGCUUCGGCGUCACCUAGAGAUGGAUCCGCGGUGCAUUAGUUAGUUGGUGGGGUAAAGGCCUACCAAGACAAUGAUGCAUAGCCGAGUUGAGAGACUGAUCGGCCACAUUGGGACUGAGACACGGCCCAAACUCCUACGGGAGGCUGCAGUAGGGAAUCUUCCACAAUGGGCGAAAGCCUGAUGGAGCAACGCCGCGUGUGUGAUGAAGGCUUUCGGGUCGUAAAGCACUGUUGUAUGGGAAGAACAGCUAGAAUAGGAAAUGAUUUUAGUUUGACGGUACCAUACCAGAAAGGGACGGCUAAAUACGUGCCAGCAGCCGCGGUAAUACGUAUGUCCCGAGCGUUAUCCGGAUUUAUUGGGCGUAAAGCGAGCGCAGACGGUUUAUUAAGUCUGAUGUGAAAGCCCGGAGCUCAACUCCGGAAUGGC